ACCCUCUCAGGGUCACACCUGGAGAGUUUCCAGUACUCUACCAGUCUCGACUAUGGGAUGGAGAGUCAAGCGGAGGCAGAUCCAUUCCAUCUUAGCUUGGGCAGUGGCUAGCGAGUGGAAGGCAAUCUGCUACAAGU